rnacentral:rRNA from 1 species
UGGGGAAUAUUGGACAAUGGGCGCAAGCCUGAUCCAGCCAUGCCGCGUGAGUGAUGAAGGCCCUAGGGUUGUAAAGCCCUUUCACCGGUGAAGAUAAUGACGGUAACCGGAGAAGAAGCCCCGGCUAACUUCGUGCCAGCAGCCGCGGUAAUACGAAGGGGGCUAGCGUUGUUCGGAUUUACUGGGCGUAAAGCGCACGUAGGCGGACUUUUAAGUCAGGGGUGAAACCCCGGGGCUCAACCCCGGAACUGCCUUUGAUACUGGAAGUCUUGAGUAUGGUAGAGGUGAGUGGAAUUUCGAGGGUAGAGGGGAAAUUCGUAGAUAUUCGGAGGAACACCAGUGGCGAAGGCGGCUCACUGGACCAUUACUGACGCUGAGGUGCGAAAGCGUGGGGAGCAAACAGG